GAGGGAUGGGGGGGGGGCAAACAGGAACGUGCCGCCGCCGCCACAAACUACAUGCCGUCCUGCGGUGUUCUUUCUGUUCCAGCAGUCGCGAGGGCUUGAUGUGCGCAAAAGUGAACUCAAACAUCACCACCACCAGAGCAGACAGUAACAACUACAGACAAGCUGGAUGACGCUGUGGAGGUGAUGCCUAUGGUAAAAACAGCGGUCCAGCCGGGCUCCAACCCCGUAUGCGCCGGCUCCACCUCCUCAGGUGACCACAUGGACGACUCCACCACGGUCAUCAAGCGUACCAGAACACCAUCACCUGGAACUCACCUCAACCUUACUUUCACUGUCUGCUGCUAAGAAGGCCACGGGACCAGAUGAUGUGCCAAACGAGUUUCUUUGAUGCCUCCCAGAUGCUCUGCUGCAGCUCCUUCUGGAUGUCCUCAACAACAGCUGGUUGUUGGGGACGUUCCCUUCAGCGUGGCGUCUUGCCACCACUAUUCCUAUUCCUAAGCCUGGCAAGGACCCGACAGCGGCCUCCUCUUAUAGACCUAUUAGCCUCCUGUCUAACAUUAGCAAGGUUUUCGAGCAUGUCAUUCAAAAUAGACUAACCUGGUGGUUGGAACCAAUUGUAUACAUAUAAUUGUAAAAAAUGGUGAAAGAAUGUCACCACCUUUUUGACAUUACAGGUGACUUGGGAUUUCUUCAGAACCAUGUUUUUGUAAUAGUAAAAAAAUAAGGUGCUGGAGUUAUACUGGACCAUAAUCUUUUCACUCUAUUUUAUAUUUAUGAUUUUUUCUUAUGGCUUGCUAUUAUGGACUCGGACCUCAAAAUUGUCCUUAAUUCAUGUAAUGUCUGUCUCAUUUAAUAUGAAGAAUUUGAUUUAUUACCAAAAAGAAAGGUAAGAUAAAUUUAUACAGAGAUACCAGCAGCUCAUUUUCCAGAUGAAACUAUUUUU